AGUUUAAUUUUGUUUUAGAUACGGCUUUGAAAUAAAUCCUUUCAUUCGAUUUCUAUACCUUUGGCUCGUAGUAGCAAAAUUUAUUAGCAUUUUCUCAGAAAAUUUGAAAAAAAACAUGCACGGACUUUUUAUAUUCCUUUUCGGUGGUAUUGUUGGUUUUUUGAUUGCUCAAAAUUAUCAUCGUAUUCAAUUUAGUUGAGGAAAUUGAUCUUAAAGACAAAAUGACGCAUCUGAUCUCAUUUUCACUGGGCAUAAUCGUUGGUGUGAUGUUGACCAAAAGAUGCGAUUCAUAAAGAAAACCAAUAGGAUUAUAAUGAAUUAACAAUUAGCAAGAGUGGAGUACUAGUUCAAGUUAAAGUUAAAGUUGAUUCGGUAGCUUUAACAAAUAAUAUUACUGGUAUUCCCUGUAUCCCAAUAGACCGACUGUCACUAACCCUUAUCAACAAGUUUUGCUACUGAUUGCCAAAAAAUAAAUGUUCUAAGAUCGACUCUAAG